UACGUAGGGGGCGAGCGUUGUCCGGAUUUAUUGGGCGUAAAGAGCGUGUAGGCGGCCAGGUAGGUCUGCUGUGAAAACUCGAGGCUCAACCUCGAGACGCCGAUGGAAACCAUCUGACUAGAGUCCGGAAGAGGAGAGUGGAAUUCCUGGUGUAGCGGUGAAAUGCGCAGAUAUCAGGAAGAACACCCGUGGCUAAGGCGGCUCUCUAGUACGUGACUGACGCUGAGACGCGAAAGCGUGGGGAGCGAACAGG
rnacentral:rRNA from 1 species